UACGUAGGGACCGAGCGUUGUCCGGAAUCAUUGGGCGUAAAGAGCGUGUAGGCGGCCAGAUAAGUCCGCUGUGAAAUCUCGAGGCUCAACUUCGAGCUGUCGGUGGAAACUGUCGGGCUAGAGUCCGGAAGAGGCGAGUGGAAUUCCCGGUGUAGCGGUGAAAUGCGCAGAUAUCAGGAGGAACACCGGUGGCGAAGGCGCCUAUCUGGCCCGAUACUGACGCUGAGGUGCGAAAGCUAGGGGAGCAAACGGG
rnacentral:rRNA from 1 species